rnacentral:tRNA from 1 species
GCCUGAGUGGCUCAACGGUUGAGCGUCUGCCUUUGGCUCAGAGUGUAAUCCCGGGGUCCUGGGAUCGAGUCCCACAUCAGGCU